rnacentral:rRNA from 1 species
AUUGAACGCUGGCGGCAGGCCUAACACAUGCAAGUCGAGCGAGCGGCGGACGGGUGAGUAAUUCCUAGGUAUCUGCCUGGUCGUGGGGGAUAACGUCCGGAAACGGGCCCUAAUACCGCAUACCUUCGGAUGUGCCUAGAUGGGAUUAGCUAGUAGGUGGGGUAACGGCUCACCUAGGCGACGAUCCCUAGCUGGUCUGAGAGGAUGACCAGCCACACUGGAACUGAGACACGGUCCAGACUCCUACGGGAGGCAGCAGUGGGGAAUAUUGCACAAUGGGCGCAAGCCUGAUGCAGCAAUGCCGCGUGAAUGAAGAAGGCCUUCGGGUUGUAAAGUACUUUUAGCGGGGAGGCGGUACCCGCAGAGAAAGCACCGGCUAACUCCGUGCCAGCAGCCGCGGUAAUAC